AACAACAAUAAGCAUAUGCCUUUAAAUUUUGGUCUGUCUCCAUUUCAUCUUUACUUUUACAUUAUUUUUUCUUAACUGAUGAGAGAAUAGGUGCUCCAUUGUUCCCGCGGUUUCAAACCCAAAUUCCCGUUAGUAAAAGUGUCAUACAAUUACCAACAAUGAAUUGGUCCAAGUAAAAGAUCUUGGGCCCCUUAAGCAGGUGUCAAGUGUUCGAUUUCUGACUCCUUGUAUGGAAAGAAUUCGGUUGGAAGGAAAGAAUUCACCUUGUGUGUCACAGGUUCCUCGACGGAGAUUAUUCAUCGCAAUGGAAACUUCAUACCUAUAUCAAAGUAACAAAAACAAAAAGUACCAUACAGUUUCACGUAAUAAUCAAUAUUGGUUAUUGAUUUGAGAUCGAACAAUUCAAAUUACACAAUCAAUUUUAAACGCCCUUGACCAUUCAUCCAUAUCAGACGGUUGCGAUUUGUAAAGUGCAACACAAUUACAGGGGAAUCUAUUUCCCUCUAUUUUUUAUGAAUGUUUGUUAUCUUUCUGUCAUACUAUCUAAUUGUUUGUACUUCCAUGAAUUCUCUAUCCAUGUAAUGCAGUUCAAAUUGCCAAUAAAUCAAUCCACCAGCACAAGUUAAUUAACACCAGAAUGGUGCUCUUGUCAUGGGGCUUAGCA
rnacentral:lncRNA from 1 species